rnacentral:rRNA from 1 species
GGCUCAGGAUGAACGCUGGCGGCGUGCCUAACACAUGCAAGUCGAGCGAAGCACUUAAGUUUGAUUCUUCGGAUGAAGACUUUUGUGACUGAGCGGCGGACGGGUGAGUAACGCGUGGGCAACCUGCCUUACACAGGGGGAUAACAGUUAGAAAUGACUGCUAAUACCGCAUAAGACCGCGGUACCGCAUGGUACAGCGGUAAAAACUCCGGUGGUGUAAGAUGGGCCCGCGUCUGAUUAGGUAGUUGGCGGGGUAACGGCCCACCAAGCCGACGAUCAGUAGCCGACCUGAGAGGGUGACCGGCCACAUUGGGACUGAGACACGGCCCAGACUCCUACGGGAGGCAGCAGUGGGGAAUAUUGCACAAUGGGGGAAACCCUGAUGCAGCGACGCCGCGUGAGCGAUGAAGUAUUUCGGUAUGUAAAGCUCUAUCAGCAGGGAAGAAAAUGACGGUACCUGACUAAGAAGCCCCGGCUAACUACGUGCCAGCAGCCGCGGUAAUACGUAGGGGGCAAGCGUUAUCCGGAUUUACUGGGUGUAAAGGGAGCGUAGACGGCAAUGCAAGCCAGAUGUGAAAGCCCGGGGCUCAACCCCGGGACUGCAUUUGGAACUGUGUAGCUAGAGUGUCGGAGAGGCAGGCGGAAUUCCUAGUGUAGCGGUGAAAUGCGUAGAUAUUAGGAGGAACACCAGUGGCGAAGGCGGCCUGCUGGACGAUGACUGACGUUGAGGCUCGAAAGCGUGGGGAGCAAACAGGAU